GUUAUUUAUAUGGAUUAUAUAGGCCUGCAUACAGGCUAUAUUCAUAUCUGUAUCUGACAACAAUUUCUGUGCAAACACUUCAGAUUGUCUCUUUAAUAACUCAGUGAAUGAAAGAGUUCAGAUGGUCUCUUUAAGAGUCCAGACGGUCUCUUUAAGAGUUCAGACUGUCUCUCUGGUAGUUCACACCGUCAAUCUAAUAGUUCAGACUGUCUCUAUAAUAGUUCAGACUGUCUCUAAUAGCUCGGACUUUCUCUCUAAUACCUGAGACUGUCUCUUUAAUAGUUCAGACUGUCUCUUUAAUGAAGGGAGGUCCUCUUCCAGUAAAUGUUGUUUGUCAGAGGCAGAUUAAACUGCGCAAUACUUCCGUAUUAAACACGGGAAACAAGGAAGACGCGGUCUCAAUUUAUACCAGCAAGUGAACAUUCUGAUCGCGAUGGACGGCAGCAGCAGCAGCACCAUCACCAAGGUGAACGGCAUGGUGGUGGUCACGCAGGUGUUCCCCGGAGCAGAUACCCGGGAGGCAGGGACACCUGGCCCGGGGAGGAGCGCCCCGCACCCGCCGGACUCCCCGGUCUACAACCCCGUCAAAGUGUCCGAGAUGACGGCCACCUUCCUCCGAGGCCAGCCGCAGUUCCUCGGGAUUGCACAGAUGUUCAUUGGCGCGGUGUGUGUGUGCAGCGGUCUGAUUGGCUUCCUGGAUCCCAGCCAGAUCAUGUCGCUGCCCCUCCUCGCCAGUAUCAUUUUUGUCGUGUCCGGAGCAGUCGCUGUCGCCGCCAGGAGAGGAACCAACGCCAGCCGGAUCAGAGCCACCCUGGGUCUGCACGUCCUGAGCGCCCUGGUGGCUCUGGCCGCCAUGGUCUACGUGCCCUGGCUGCUGGCCACCCAGACCUGGAAGACCCAGAUCUGCCCUGAGGUCGGCCCCAAUGACAUGUGUCGGAGCAUGCUUUGGUCCAUGCUAGUGGAGGUGGCGACGGGCGACUACUCCCCCAAGUCUGAGAGUGACGUGAGCUUAUUGGGCCCUGAUGGGAUGGACCCUCCGAGCGCCUGAGCCUCCGGGACCCCCCCCCCCCUCACUGAGGCUUCAGCACUGUAGUCGCAUAACCGCAGCCAUGUUCCCUAGCCAUGAUUUCACAGGGGCGUGUGUAUUACAGACACUACAGUAACGGCCUCUACGGUAAUCAAUGUAGCAGUUUGUCUGUUUCUCUCUCUCUCACUUCUCUCUCUGCCACCCUGUCUGCCUUCCUCUUAAAAUAAGAAAGUUACAAGUGAUUGCAUUCUAUAUUAUCCAAUAAAAAGUUUAUUACAAUUAUCUUUUGUAGUGUCGCUCCUACAAAGUUUGCGCUCCUCGCUCGACUGACGCAGUUCUGAAAAUACGAGGCAAUUCGUUUUUAGCGUGAUUCUAUCCUGCCAGUUGGUGUCGCUGUACAGCUAAGAGGUACAGCGAUGACGAUCUAGGUACGAUCACUGGACCGUCCCAACGUCAAUAUUGUAUUCUGGUCGUUGAUUGGUUCAGGGAGAACCUCCUCCGUUGGAGCUGGCCAAUAACAGAUAAGCAUGAUUGAAGUAAGUUAAAUUGAUACGGGAG
ensembl:lncRNA